rnacentral:rRNA from 1 species
UGGGGAAUAUUGGACAAUGGGGGGAACCCUGAUCCAGCCAUGCCGCGUGUGUGAAGAAGGCCUUAUGGUUGUAAAGCACUUUAAGCGAGGAGGAGGGUACUGGUAUUAAUACUACCAGCUACUGGACGUUACUCGCAGAAUAAGCACCGGCUAACUCUGUGCCAGCAGCCGCGGUAAUACAGAGGGUGCGAGCGUUAAUCGGAUUUACUGGGCGUAAAGCGUGCGUAGGCGGCUAAUUGAGUCGGAUGUGAAAUCCACGAGCUUAACUUGGGAAUUGCAUUCGAUACUGGUUAGCUAGAGUGUGGGAGAGGAUGGUAGAAUUCCAGGUGUAGCGGAGAAAUGCGUAGAGAUCUGGAGGAAUACCGAUGGCGAAGGCAGCCAUCUGGCCUAACACUGACGCUGAGGUACGAAAGCAUGGGGCGCAAACAGG